rnacentral:rRNA from 1 species
CGUCAAAUCAUCAUGCCCCUUAAGUCCUGGGCUACACACGUACUACAAUGGCGUUAAACAACGGGAAGCGAAGCCGCGAGGCGGAGCCAAUCCCCAAAAAACGCCCCAGUUCAGAUUGCAGGCUGCAACCCGCCUGCAUGAAGUCGGAAUUGCUAGUAAUCGCGAAUCAGCAUGUCGCGGUGAAUACGUUCCCGGGCUUU